rnacentral:rRNA from 1 species
GGUGAACGCUGGCGGCGUGCCUAAUACAUGCAAGUCGAGCGAACAGACGAGGAGCUUGCUCCUCUGACGUUAGCGGCGGACGGGUGAGUAACACGUGGAUAACCUACCUAUAAGACUGGGAUAACUUCGGGAAACCGGAGCUAAUACCGGAUAAUAUAUUGAACCGCAGGGUUCAAUAGUGAAAGACGGUUUUGCUGUCACUUAUAGAUGGAUCCGCGCCGCAUUAGCUAGUUGGUAAGGUAACGGCUUACCAAGGCAACGAUGCGUAGCCGACCUGAGAGGGUGAUCGGCCACACUGGAACUGCGACACGGUCCAGACUCCUACGGGAGGCAGCAGUAGGGACUCUUCCGCAAUGGGCGAAAGCCUGACGGAGCAACGCCGCGUGAGUGAUGAAGGUCUUCGGAUCGUAAAACUCUGUUAUUAGGGAAGAACAAAUGUGUAAGUAACUAUGCGCGUCUUGACGGUGCCUAAUCAGAAAGCCACGGCUACCUACGUG